GAUGAACGCUAGCUACAGGCUUAACACAUGCAAGUCGAGGGACCGGCGCUCGGGUGCGUAACACGUAUCCCACCUGCCCUUUACUCGGGGAUAGCCUUUCGAAAGAAAGAUUAAUACCCGAUAUAAAGGCUGCGGAUGCGUUUCAGUAGGUUGUUGGUGAGGUAACGGCGCACCAAGCCUUCGAUGGAUAGGGGUUCUGAGAGGAAGGUCACCCAGAUUGGAACGGGGACACGGUCCAAACUCGUACGGGAGGCAGCAGUGAGGAAUAUUGGUCAAGGGGCGCUAGCCUGAACCAGCCAAGUAGCGUGAAGGAUGAAGGCGUAUGGGUGGAAAACUUCUUGGAUAUAAGAAUAGGGAGGAAAAGAAUAAGGAUCGGCUAACUCCGUGCCAGCAGAAGCGGUAAUAG
rnacentral:rRNA from 1 species